CAAAAGAAUGACAUCGAUUUCCUGAUGCUGUUUGCACUGAGACGUUUGUUUAGGUUUUACUCCCACCAGCUAACGGUCUCAUCCUGAAGAUAAGGGGACUUCUGUGAUUGAACUCGUCUAUUGAUGGAAUGUCAAAGUCUGUCAGAGACUGAGGCUGACGUCUUGUUGCCACGGUAAUUAUUGUGCCAAUCCUGGUGGAAUUUCAGGUUGACAAUUUGCACACAUUAAUAAAUGAUGGCUUUUGGGGCAAGAGUUUGACCAUAACGAAGAA